UCGCUACUACCGAUUGAAUGAUUUAGUGAAUUGCAGGGAUCUGGACUUCUGGUUGGGCAACCUUCCAUUUGUUCUCAGAACUGCCGUAAACUUGACCAUUUAGAGGAAGUAA
rnacentral:rRNA from 1 species